UUAAUUUAGUUUGGUAAGAUUUUAAGUUGAACUAAAAUUCUUUGCUGGGCAACCAGCUAUCAUCAGGCUCGGUAGGCUUUUCACCUCUACCUCUAAAUUUUCUCACUAUUUUGGUACAUAGAAGAGUUGGCUCUGUUUGGCUAUUCAAAGGUAGCUCAUCUGAUUUCGGGGUGCUUGGCUAAGAUGCUCUUUGCCAAAUUUAUUCUAGUUAACCCAUUAUGUAAAAGGUAAAAGGUCUUAUCUUUGCUUUGUUUUACUUUAAUAGGUUCUUUCAUCUUUCCCUUGUUGUACUAUUUCUAUAGCUCUAAUAAAUAAAUUUUCUAUCUCCUAUACUAGUUUAGUGGUAAAUGAUUUAAUUAAUAUGUUGAGAAUAAUUUAGUUUGUGAUUGGUUAGGCUAGCAAUAGUUCAAAGCAUUCAAUUAUUUUGAAAUCUUCUGAAUGUAAGUCAGAUGCUUUAUUUAAGCUACACUUUGAUUAAUCCAAGCGCACUUUCUAGUACGCUUUCCUUGUUACGACUUAUCUCCUCUUAAUUUUCUUAGUGCGGGGUUAGGUACUUAUUUUUAUUAAAUAUUGAGGAGGGUGACGGGCGGUGUGUGUGUGCUUCAUUGCUCUAUUCAACUAAACACUCUACUUUUAGUUUACUGCUAAAUCCUCCUUUAUCCUAUCGAUUUCAGAUAGGGUUUCGUAUACUCUGAAUCAGAAAUUGUAGCCCAUUUCAUACCAUUUCACAAGUUACACCUUGACCUAACUUUUUUAUAUAAUAUAAUUGGGCUUACUUGUGGGCCUUUUUAGGGUUUGCUGAAGAUGGCGGUAUAUAAACUGAAUUAGCAAGAAAUGGUAAGGUAUAUCGGGGUUUAUUGAUUACAGAACAGGCUCCUCUAGAUGGAUAUAAAGCACCGCCAAGUCCUUUGAGUUUUAAGCUGUGGCUAGUGGUCCUCGGGCAAAUAAGCUUGUUUUAAACCUAUUUAUGUUUAUGGCUAUACAUAGUGGGGUAUCUAAUCCCAGUUUGUGUUAUAGCUUUAGUAUUUUAAUUGUAUAAA